AGCGGCAGGAGCCGCCUUCGCUGCGUCUUUGGUGAUGCGGUGUUAAACUGAGCCGGUACACCCUAAGGGCUGGCUGUGCUUUGAGGAAAUCACAUCUGAACAGAAAGGUAAGCUACACGAAGCUCAGAAGAAAAUAGUAUCUGUACAGAAAAGUAAGCUACAAGGAGAAAAAUAACUUCCACAUGCAGUGUGAGUUUCUUUGUUGGUUUUGGCAGUGGAAAGAUCUCCUGUUACGGGAAACGUCAGCGCCUGCCUUUAGGUCCUUGGAAGCACAUGAGUGUCAGAGCCGUGAUGUCACAGCCAGCUGGAAGGAGCCCCAGCUUUCCUUGCCCUCCUGCAGCCAGCGGAGAUGGAGACGGUCCCUGGUAUGUUAUAUUGCCUCGUCAGAAAUGAGCAAUAAAGAAAAAUCACCCUUAAGCUUUGAA